rnacentral:rRNA from 1 species
AGAGUUUGAUCCUGGCUCAGAACGAACGCUGGCGGCGUGCCUAAUACAUGCAAGUCGCACGAGAAAGUCCUUCGGGAUGAGUAGAGUGGCGCACGGGUGAGUAAUACGUAGGAACGUACCUUUAGGUGGGGGAUAACCACGGGAAACUGUGGCUAAUACCGCAUGGUGUCGCAAGACUAAAGAGGGCCUCUAUUUAUAAGCUCUCGCCAAAAGAGCGGCCUACGUCCCAUUAGCUAGUUGGUGAGGUAAUGGCUCACCAAGGCAACGAUGGGUAGCUGGUCUGAGAGGAUGAUCAGCCACACUGGGACUGAGACACGGCCCAGACUCCUACGGGAGGCAGCAGUAGGGAAUUUUGCACAAUGGGCGCAAGCCUGAUGCAGCAACGCCGCGUGAGUGAAGAAGGCUCUUGGGUUGUAAAGCUCUUUCGGCUGGGAAGAAGGGCUUUUAGUCGAACAGGCUAGAAGUCUGACGGUACCAGAAGAAGAAGCACCUGCUAACUACGUGCCAGCAGCAGCGGUAAUACGUAGGGUGCAAGCGUUGUUCGGAAUGACUGGGCGUAAAGGGCGCGUAGGCGGGGUCUGUAUGUCGAUUGUGAAAGCCCUGGGCUUAACCUGGGAAUUGCAGUCGAAACUGCAGAUCUUGAGUGCCUGAGAGGAUGGCGGAAUUCCCGGUGUAGAAGUGAAAUUCGUAGAUAUCGGGNNNNNNACCUGAGGCGAAGGCGGCUAUCNNNGGUGCACUGACGCUGAGGGCGAAAGCGUGGNNAGCAAACAGGAUUAGAUACCCNNGUAGUCC